AUUGAACGCUGGCGGCAUGCCUUACACAUGCAAGUCGAACGGUAACGCGGAGCAAUCUGGCGACGAGUGGUGAACGGGUGAGUAAUAUAUCGGAACAUACCCUAGAGUGGGGGAUAACGUAGCGAAAGUUACGCUAAUACCGCAUACGAUCUGAGGAUGAAAGUGGGGGAUCGCAAGACCUCAUGCUCAUGGAGUGGCCGAUAUCUGAUUAGCUAGUUGGUAGGGUAAAAGCCUACCAAGGCGACGAUCAGUAGCUGGUUUGAGAGAACGACCAGCCACACUGGAACUGAGACACGGUCCAGACUCCUACGGGAGGCAGCAGUGGGGAAUUUUGGACAAUGGGGGCAACCCUGAUCCAGCAAUGCCGCGUGAGUGAAGAAGGCCUUCGGGUUGUAAAGCUCUUUUGUCAGGGAAGAAAAGGUAGCCUCUAAUACAGGCUGCUCAUGACGGUACCUGAAGAAUAAGCACCGGCUAACUACGUG
rnacentral:rRNA from 1 species